rnacentral:ncRNA from 1 species
UUAAAGGCGUUGAAGAGGAGUAGUAAGUUCUCCCCCCUGUCCCAGAGAACCGGCGGUCGCUGCAAGCCGGUACAGGGUCGAACCGAACUCGCCUCGGAGCCGCGGAGAUGAACCGUCCCCUUUCGGGGCGCCAGUUUUCGCCGUGAGCCUGCGUAAAAGGUCGAAGAGGGUCCGCAUGGACCAAAACAGGGUGGUACCGCGAAGCGCAAGCUCUCGCCCCUGCA